AUGAGACAAACUUAACACCAACUAGAAAUGUCCGACUUGUUUCCCGACCAGAACAGCCCGGCUUCUCCUAAUAAAUAAGAUCAGUCUUCACUCCAGGACCGGCAGGACGGAUGUUCAUCAUCACCUUCAUCAUCACGUUAACAUCUGACAGCUGUCGUGCAGUGGGGCCAUUAGGCAGCGGAUGCAGCGGGCGCCCGGCUGCAGGCGGCCCUCUCAAUGGUCUCUCCCACCAUGAAGGCGGUGGUGGACGCUGUGUGGGCGGUGUGGAGCAUCGGGGCCUCCAUCUAUGACUACAUCCACACCAGCGCCAUGGAGGAGCGCAUCCACGCCCUGGAGAAUGUCAUCACCAUCCACCAGUGUGUGAUCGGGCUGCUGUCCGCCGGCGUGUUGGUGCUUUUCACCUACAUCUUCUUCAAGAAGCUGUGAAGAGGUGGGCUGGGGUUGACAUGGGGGAAGUGGAGCAGCCAGAAUCCGUCCAAUGUGAUAAAGAUGAGAAAGAUAAAGGGGAAUUUUUACACUUUGGGGUAUUUUGGAAAGGCCUAUCAGAGCUGUUGGCGUGCUGUUCACGGUGGGUACAUAGAGUUUCCAUAGGGGGACAUAACACAUACGCAAACGAUCAAGACAUGAAGUUACUUUUUGGGGGUUUUAGCAUCACUGCAGUGCCACCUUUUUUUUUUCCUAAAUCUGUUUAGGAAAAAACACCCUGAGGUCUUUUUCCUUUAUCAGCAAUGAAGGCCUACAGUGUCCACCUAUUUUUAAAGGCCAAUAACAGCUUUUUAUACUGAUGAAGACAGAUUUUAUGUGCCAAAUAGAAAAUUGUGAUUUUAUUUGAAUGGAUUAAGUACCAAUGGCACUAACUGCUCCCUCAAAUUUAAGGGUUAAAAAGCCUCUGUACCUCUGGAAAAGCUUUUAAGCCAUUGUGAGAUGUUGUGACUCAGCAGCUAAUUGCAGGGUUUUCAGGCCGAACCUGCUGAGUUAAAUAUAUAUAUUCUGAACACAUUUGAGUAUUUUCUCAGGUUAGCCAUGUCGUACAAAAACGCCCAGUGCAUUAGCGGGAAACAUCAGCUGGACAGUUUGCUAAUUUUUUUUUCUCUUCUGGGAAACGCAUCAAGUCACUCAGUAUUUUAGCAGACCAGAACAUUUGUCCGCCCAAACAGAAACCACGUCUCACUGUAAUAGCAGGAACUCCAUUUGCAGCUUGAUUCAUUUUCUAAAGGGAUCAGUAUUGAAAAUGUCAUUCAUCGGGACAAAUUCUGCCUUAAUUCACAUUCUAAUGUCUUGUUUUCAUGUUUGCACUAAUUUCUCUGAGAUAUCAGGAGAUGCUAAUUUUGCUGAAACUACUGUCUAUGUAAAUGAUGACUGGAGAGUGUAGAGGUCUUUUAGAGUGACGUGUCAUCUCUAGCGGUUUUUAAUUUUGUGCACAUGGAUCUCUAAUGAACAUCUCUGCCAGUGACUGGAAGAGACCACAAAGUAAUGUGAUGACUUCUUUUCACUGUCCAUGACUAAGUUUUUUUUUUUUCCAUGUGAUCUUGAAUGUCAGAUUAGACAAAACACAUGUUAAAUCCCUUCUGUGACAGUUUUAUAGGUCUGCAUAUGUGUCAUCUGUGUAUUUAGACUUCAAAGAUGAUGAAUUUAUAUGCUUUUUUCCAUUAACAUUUUGUAAUACCUCAUGACUUACACGAAUGUAGGUGCCAUUGCUGUAUAAAAUGCAACAAUUUGAAGUGUCCUUACAAACUGUAAAUAUAUUAGAUGACCAUUGAAACAUUUCA